rnacentral:rRNA from 1 species
UACGUAGGCAGCAAGCGUUGUUCGGAUUUACUGGGCGUAAAGGGUGUGUAGGCGGUUGUUUAAGUUUGGUGUGAAAUCUCCCGGCUCAACUGGGAGGGUGCGCCGAAUACUGAAUGACUAGAGUGUGGGAGAGGUGAGUGGAAUUCCUGGUGUAGCGGUGAAAUGCGUAGAUAUCAGGAGGAACACCGGUGGUGUAGACGGCUCACUGGACCAUAACUGACGCUGAGACACGAAAGCGUGGGUAGCAAACAGG